UACGUAGGGCGCGAGCGUUGUCCGGAAUUAUUGGGCGUAAAGAGCUCGUAGGCGGCCUGUUGCGUCUGCUGUGAAAUCCCGGGGCUUAACCCCGGGCGUGCAGUGGAUACGGGCAGGCUGGAGGCAGGCAGGGGAGAAUGGAAUUCCCGGUGUAGCGGUGAAAUGCGCAGAUAUCGGGAGGAACACCGGUGGCGAAGGCGGUUCUCUGGGCCUGUCCUGACGCUGAGGAGCGAAAGCGUGGGGAGCGAACAGG
rnacentral:rRNA from 1 species